rnacentral:lncRNA from 1 species
AGUAGUUCGACUUGUGAACAAAAGAAAUAGAAAUAAUAGAAAUGAAAAACUUUAAGAAGUCUGGUGAAGAAAAUCAAGAAGAGUGGCAACUGCCGUUAGGAAUAACUCCAGACGAGCUGAUAAAUGAAAUCAUGUCUAAAUGGUCCAGACAGCCUUUUGGUAUUGGAGAGGAGUUGAUAUUCGAGCAAGAUAUGAAAUAUAUCGACUGGCUAUCGGAACUACCUUCAAAUACGCGUAGAAUGCCUGAAAAUAUAAACGAUGAAAUACAGAGAAUAAGAUAUAGAAAAAAGAUAAUCGCGAUUGUCUAAAAAUCUAAAAUAAAAUAAAAUUCUAAUUUUAAAGCGCGCUGUGGGAAAAUUCAUCAAAUCCAAUGGAUUAUUUAACACCUAAAUUUUACGUGAGAGACAUGCAAUAUCAUCGAUGGUCGAAUAAAGAAAAAGAAAACAAGUAAGUAUAGAGGGAAAAAAUAUAAUAAUUUUAGGAUAUCAUUUUAAAUAAUUUUUGUAUCUUCAGAGAUUUUGAAAAAAGCAAUGGAAAG